UACGAAGGGGGCUAGCGUUGCUCGGAAUCACUGGGCGUAAAGCGCACGUAGGCGGGUUCUUAAGUCAGGGGUGAAAUCCUGGAGCUCAACUCCAGAACUGCCUUUGAUACUGGGAAUCUCGAGUCCGGGAGAGGUGAGUGGAACUGCGAGUGUAGAGGUGAAAUUCGUAGAUAUUCGCAAGAACACCAGUGGCGAAGGCGGCUCACUGGCCCGGUACUGACGCUGAGACGCGAAAGCGUGGGGAGCAAACAGG
rnacentral:rRNA from 1 species